rnacentral:rRNA from 1 species
GACGAACGCUGGCGGUGUGCUUAACACAUGCAAGUCGAACGGUAAGGCCCUUUCGGGGGUACACGAGUGGCGAACGGGUGCGUAACACGUGAGUAACCUGCCCUCAUCUCUGGGAUAACAGUCGGAAACGGUUGCUAAUACUGGAUAUGAGCUUGCAAGGCAUCUUGUGGGUUGGAAAGAUUUUUUUGGUUGGGGAUGGACUCGCGGCCUAUCAGCUUGUUGGUGAGGUAGUGGCUCACCAAGGCUUCGACGGGUAGCCGGCCUGAGAGGGCGACCGGCCACAUUGGGACUGAGAUACGGCCCAAACUCCUACGGGAGGCAGCAGUGGGGAAGAUUGCACAAUGGACGGAAGUCGGAUGCAGCAACGCCGCGUGCGGGAUGACGGCCUUCGGGUUGUAAACCGCUUUCAAUUGUGACGAAGCUUUUUGUGACGGUAGCAGUAGAAGAAGCACCGGCUAACUACGUG